CCCGCUUGCAAAGGGGAGUAACUUGUAAGCUGAUUGAUCGUCACUACGUUGCGCACGCAUCCGGUCAUCAGGCAACCCAGAAUCAAUUCCUGAGUUGUAAGUGAGACCUUGCCGGAAGG
rnacentral:sRNA from 1 species